rnacentral:rRNA from 1 species
AACGAACGCUGGCGGCGUGCCUAACACAUGCAAGUCGUGCGAGAAAGUUCCUUCGGGAGCGAGUAAAGCGGCGCACGGGUGAGUAACACGUAGGUAACCUGCCCCCCAGUCUGGAACAACUAGAGGAAACUCUAGCUAAUGCCGGAUGAGACCACGAUCCCUUCGGGGGUUGCGGCCAAAGAUGGCCUCUACUUGUAAGCUAUCGCUGAGGGAUGGGCCUGCGGGCCAUUAGCUUGUUGGUGAGGUAACGGCUCACCAAGGCUGUGAUGGCUAGCUGGUCUGAGAGGAUGACCAGCCACACUGGGACUGAGACACGGCCCAGACUCCUACGGGAGGCAGCAGUGGGGAAUAUUGCGCAAUGGGCGAAAGCCUGACGCAGCGACGCCGCGUGGGUGAUGAAGGCCUCGGGUCGUAAGACCUGUCGCAGGGGAAGGAAGUAAAGGACCGAA